GGAUGUGAGGGUGAUCUGGCUAUGACAUCUGUCACCCCACUGAUCGCCAGGGUUGAUUCGAGUGAUGUGGCUGGCUCGGCGGGUGUCUCCUUCCUCCCUCACCGCUCCAUGUACGUCCUUCCUGCUGCUACGUGCUUGGUCAGAGAGGACGACCUUCCCUAACAGAGGAAGGGCCAUUCUUUUUCAAGGGUAUACAAGUAGCUGUUCUCGCCUACUAGAACCUCCAUGCAAGGUCUCAAGGUCCAUUUGUAGGAGAACGUAGGGUGGUCAAGCCUACAGCACUUUAGACACAUCCAAAUGAGGUGCUGCACGUGACAGUCUACCUUUCAAA
rfam:Felis catus isolate Cinnamon breed Abyssinian chromosome A2, whole genome shotgun sequence.